GACAGAGGUGCCGAGCGUUAGGCGGAAUCACUGGGCUUAAAGCGUGUGUAGGCGGAUUCCUAAGUACCUUGUGAAAUCCCAUGGCUCAACCAUGGAACUGCUUGGUAUACUGGGUGUCUUGAGCCAGCUAGGGGCUACCGGAACAAAUGGUGGAGCGGUGAAAUGCGUAGAUAUCUGGAGGAACACCGGUGGCGAAGGCGGCAUCCUGGACCGGCAUUGACGCUGAGGCGCGAAAGCCAGGGGAGCAAACGGG
rnacentral:rRNA from 1 species